rnacentral:rRNA from 1 species
ACCGUGCAAAGGUAGCAUAAUCACUUGCCCGUUAAUUGCGGGCUAGAAUGAAAGGAUCUACGAAAUAAAAACUGUCUCUAUAAGCCCGAUAAAAAUUAACCUCUAACUGAAGACUGUUAGAUACCGUCGAAGGACAAGAAGACCCUAUAGAGCUUCAUUUUAAUAGAAAUAUACUAUUCUUACAAAAUUCGGUUGGGGCGACCUGGGAAAAACAAUCAUCCCAUGAAAUAAGAUAAAUAAAUCUCUAUAUUGACCCUAAUUAAGAUCACAAGAACAAGCUACCUUAGGGAUAACAGGCUAAUCCCACUAAAGAGUCCUUAUCAAUAGUGGGGUUUGGCACCUCGAUGUUGGCUUAGGGAAUCUAUGUGGCGCAAAAGUCACAUAAAGAUGGUUUGUUCAACCAAAAAUACCCUACAUGAGCUGAGUUCAGAACGG